UACGUAGGGGGGCAAGCGUUGUCCGGAUUUAUUGGGCGUAAAGAGCGUGUAGGCGGCUAUACAGGUCCGCUGUGAAAAACUCGAGGCUCAACCUCGAGACGUCGGUGGAAACCGUAUGGCUAGAGUCCGGAAGAGGAGAGUGGAAUUCCUGGUGUAGCGGUGAAAUGCGCAGAUAUCAGGAAGAACACCCGUGGCGAAGGCGGCUCUCUGGGACGGUACUGACGCUGAGACGCGAAAAGCGUGGGGGAGCGAACAGG
rnacentral:rRNA from 1 species